rnacentral:rRNA from 1 species
GAUGAACGCUGGCGGCGUGCCUAAUACAUGCAAGUCGAGCGAACAGACGAGGAGCUUGCUCCUCUGACGUUAGCGGCGGACGGGUGAGUAACACGUGGAUAACCUACCUAUAAGACUGGGAUAACUUCGGGAAACCGGAGCUAAUACCGGAUAAUAUAUUGAACCGCAUGGUUCAAUAGUGAAAGACGGUUUUGCUGUCACUUAUAGAUGGAUCCGCGCCGCAUUAGCUAGUUGGUAAGGUAACGGCUUACCAAGGCGACGAUGCGUAGCCGACCUGAGAGGGUGAUCGGCCACACUGGAACUGAGACACGGUCCAGACUCCUACGGGAGGCAGCAGUAGGGAAUCUUCCGCAAUGGGCGAAAGCUUGACGGAGCAACGCCGCGUGAGUGAUGAAGGUCUUCGGAUCGUAAAACUCUGUUAUUAGGGAAGAACAAAUGUGUAAGUAACUAUGCACGUCUUGACGGUACCUAAUCAGAAAGUCACGGCUAACUACGUG